AUGAACGCUGGCGGCGUGCCUAAUACAUGCAAGUCGAGCGAACGGACGAGAAGCUUGCUUCUCUGAUGUUAGCGGCGGACGGGUGAGUAACCCGUGGAUAACCUACCUAUAAGACUGGGAUAACUUCGGGAAACCGGAGCUAAUACCGGAUAAUAUUUUGAACCGCAUGGUUCAAAAGUGAAAGACGGUCUUGCUGUCACUUAUAGAUGGAUCCGCGCUGCAUUAGCUAGUUGGUAAGGUAACGGCUUACCAAGGCAACGAUGCAUAGCCGACCUGAGAGGGUGAUCGGCCACACUGGAACUGAGACACGGUCCAGACUCCUACGGGAGGCAGCAGUAGGGAAUCUUCCGCAAAGGGCGAAAGCCUGACGGAGCAACGCCGCGUGAGUGAUGAAGGUCUUCGGAUCGUAAAACUCUGUUAUUAGGGAAGAACAUAUGUGUAAGUAACUGUGCACAUCUUGACGGUACCUAAUCAGAAAGCCACGGCUAACUACGUG
rnacentral:rRNA from 1 species